rnacentral:rRNA from 1 species
UACGGAGGGUGCAAGCAUUAAUCGGAUUUAUUGGGCGUAAAGGGCGUGUAGGCGGACCUGCAAGUCAGAUGUGAAAUCCCGGAGCUCAACUCCGGAACAGCAUUUGAAACUACAAGUCUUGAGGGUAGGCGGAGAAAACGGAAUUCCACAAGUAGCGGUGAAAUGCGUAGAUAUGUGGAAGAACAUCGGUGGCGAAGGCGGUUUUCUAGCUUAUUCCUGACGCUGAGGCGCGAAAGCAAGGGGAUCAAACAGG